GAUGAAGAACGCAGCGAAAUGCGAUAAGUAAUGUGAAUUGCAGAAUUCAGUGAAUCAUCGAAUCUUUGAACGCACAUUGCGCCCGUCAGUAUUCUGGCGGGCAUGCCUGUUCGAGCGUCAUUACGCCCCUCAAGUCCCCUGUGGACUUGGUGUUGGGGAUCGGCGAGGCUGGUUUUCCAGCACAGCCGUCCCUUAAAUUAAUCGGCGGUCUCGCCGUGGCCCUCCUCUGCGCAGUAGUAAAACACUCGCAACAGGAGCCCGGCGCGGUCCACUGCCGUAAAACCCCCCAACUUUUUAUAGUUGACCUCGAAUCAGGUAGGACUACCCGCUGAACUUAAGCAUAUCAAUAAGCGGAGGA
rnacentral:misc_RNA from 1 species